rnacentral:rRNA from 1 species
UGGGGAAUUUUGCACAAUGGGGGAAACCCUGAUGCAGCGACGCCGCGUGAUUUAGAAGGCCUUCGGGUUGUAAAAAUCUUUUGUAUGGGAAGAAAAUGACAGUACCAUACGAAUAAGGACCGGCUAAUUACGUGCCAGCAGCCGCGGUAAUACGUAAGGUCCGAGCGUUGUCCGGAAUCAUUGGGCGUAAAGGGUACGUAGGCGGAUAAGCAAGUUAGAAGUGAAAUCCUAUAGCUCAACUAUAGUAAGCUUUUAAAACUGCUCAUCUUGAGGUAUGGAAGGGAAAGUGGAAUUCCUAGUGUAGCGGUGAAAUGCGCAGAUAUUAGGAGGAAUACCGGUGGCGACGGCGACUUUCUGGCCAUAAACUAACGCUGAGGUACGAAAGCGUGGGUAGCAAACAGG